rnacentral:rRNA from 1 species
AGAUUGAACGCUGGCGGCGUGCCUAACACAUGCAAGUCGAGCGGUAACAGGUGUAGCAAUACAUGCUGACGAGCGGCGAACGGGUGAGUAAUGCUUUGGAAUCUUCCCAGUAGUGGGGAAUAACCAGUCGAAAGAUUGGCUAAUACCGCAUACGUCUGUAAAGGGAAAGCGGGGGCUCGUAAGACCUCGCGCUAUUGGAUGAGCCAAAGUCGGAUUAGCUAGUUGGUGGGGUAAUGGCCUACCAAGGCGACAAUCCGUAGCUGGUCUGAGAGGACGACCAGCCACACCGGAACUGAGACACGGUCCGGACUCCUACGGGAGGCAGCAGUGGGGGAAUAUUGGACAAUGGGGGAAACCCUGAUCCAGCGACGCCGCGUGUGUGAGAAGGCCUGCGGGUUGUAAGCACUUUUAGUGGGGACAAAAGCUACGGACUAAUAUUCUGUGGUCUUGAUUUAACCCAAAGAAAACGCACCGGCUAACUCUGUGCCAGCAGCCGC